UGUUAAUCAGUACCAGCUGUUUUCCAUUUGCUAAUGACCCUAUGCCCAUUGACCUCUCCAUAGGUUCCUGGACAUCUCCAGUAUCUCUAGCUGUUGUAAUGUCUCUCAUCCAUCAAUCUGCCCAGAUUUACAACUACCGGUAUUGUCCCCGUAAUCCAUUUACUUCACCAAGAGUCUUCAUCUGCUUCAUUCAGACCUACCUGAGAUACUCGGCUUGUUUGAGAGAUCGCUUGGACAGAGAAGGAACCAAGUAAAUCUAGUCUAAAUAUAUUUUUCUAACGGGAGACUCAUGUCUUUCCAAAUAAAUGCUGGGAAUGUAUUUUAUAUCUGCCAGUAUUUUGUGUAUUAUUUCUCAAUAAUCACUGUCCUCGUCUCUCUACAUACUGAUAUUUACUAAACCUAUAACUUUAAUAAAGUCCUCCACAUUCUGACAUAUCUCUCCUCACACUGACAGAUAUCCCAUGCCCUGCUGUCACUUUCCAUCUCACACCUGUCCCCAUACCCUAAUGUCACUAUCUUCCUCAUACAGACAGAUAUCCCAUACCCUGCUGUCAUUAUCCUCCUCACACCGACAGAUAUCCCAUACCCUGCUGUCAUUAUCCUCCUCACACCGACAGAUAUCCCAUACCCUGCUGUCAUUAUCCUCCUCACACCGACAGAUAUCCCAUACCCUGCUGUCAUUAUCCUCCUCAUACAGACAGAUAUCCCAUACCCUGCUGUCAUUAUCCUCCUCACACCGACAGAUAUCCCAUACCCUGCUGUCAUUAUACUCCUCACACCGACAGAUAUCCCAUACCCUGCUGUCAUUACCCUCCUCACACCGACAGAUAUCCCAUACCCUGCUGUCAUUAUCCUCCUCACACCCAAAGAUACACCAUACCCUGCUGUCAUUACCCUCCUCACACCCAAAGAUACACCAUACCCUGCUGUCAUUAUCCUCCUCACACCGACAGAUACCCCAUACCCUGCUGUCAUUAUCCUCCUCACACCGACAGAUAUCCCAUACCCUGCUGUCAUUAUCCUCCUCACACCGACAGAUAUCCCAUACCCUGCUGUCAUUAUCCUCCUCACACCGACAGAUACACCAUACCCUGCUGUCAUUAUCCUCCUCACACCCAAAGAUACACCAUACCCUGCUGUCAUUAUCCUCAUCACACCCACAGCUAUCCCAUACCCUGCUGUCAUUAUCCUCCUCACACCGACAGAUAUCCCAUACCCUGCUGUCAUUAUACUCCUCACACCCAAAGAUACACCAUACCCUGCUGUCAUUAUCCUCCUCAUACAGACAGAUAUCCCAUACCCUGCUGUCAUUAUCCUCCUCACACCCAAGAUACACCAUACCCUGCUGUCACUUAUCCUCCUCACACCGACAGAUAUCCCAUACCCUGCUGUCAUUAUCCUCCUCACACCGACAGAUAUCCCAUACCCUGCUGUCAUUAUCCUCCUCACACCGACAGAUAUCCCAUACCCUGCUGUCAUUAUACUCCUCACACCGACAGAUAUCCCAUACCCUGCUGUCAUUAUACUCCUCACACCGACAGAUAUCCCAUACCCUGCUGUCAUUACUCUCCUGCACCACAGAUACCCCAUACCCUGCUGUCAUUACUCUCCUCGCACCCACAGAUACCCCAUACCCUGCUGUCAUUACUCUCCUCGCACCCACAGAUACCCCAUACCCUGCUGUCAUUACUCUCCUCGCACCCACAGACACCCCAUACCCUGCUGUCAUUACUCUCCUCGCACCCACAGAUACCCCAUACCCUGCUGUCAUUACUCUCCUCGCACCCACAGAUACCCCAUACCCUGCUGUCAUUACUCUCCUCGCACCCACAGACACCCCAUACCCUGCUGUCAUUACUCUCCUCGCACCCACAGACACCCCAUACCCUGCUGUCAUUACUCUCCUCGCACCCACAGAUACCCCAUACCCUGCUGUCAUUACUCUCCUCGCACCCACAGAUACCCCAUACCCUGCUGUCAUUACUCUCCUCGCACCCACAGAUACCCCAUACCCUGCUGUCAUUAUUCUAAGGAGUAGAAAUAUUUAUACUUGUUGGUUUUGUCUUUAACAGACUCCAGACUGCCCUUUCCCAUGUUCAAGAAGUAUAUACUGAACAGGAUCAAUGUUCUAAGAAUCAAUCUGUUAUUACCGAAUGUAUCCAGGACACUGAUAAGG
rnacentral:lncRNA from 1 species